rnacentral:ncRNA from 2 species
GCACACCGCUAGGGGUGUUGGGCUCGACAGGGCCCGACUGAGAAAGUCCCUUUGAACCUGAUUGAGGUAAUCCUCGCGCAGGGAAGCAGCCUGAAUGCCGC